AGGGUUUGAUCCUGGCUCAGAGUGAACGCUGGCGGCGUGGAUUAGGCAUGCAAGUCGAGCGAUCUUUGUCAUUGAUAGAGAAUGAAGCUACGGCUGAUUUUUCUUGAUUUGGCGCUAGAUAGCGGCAAACGGGUGAGUAACGCGUAGGUAACCUACCUUAAGGAGAAGGACAGCUUCGCGAAAGCGGAGGUAAUACUUCAUAUUCUCUAUAGCUACCUGCUAUAGAGCAAAGACGGCCUCUAUUUAUAAGCUGUCACCUUUUGAGGGGCCUGCGUCCUAUUAGGUUGUUGGUGGGGUAAUGGCUCACCAAGCCAGAGAUGGGUAGCGGGCGUGAGAGCGUGACCCGCCACAUCGGGACUGAGACACUGCCCGGACUUCUACGGAAGGCUGCAGUCGAGAAUCUUUCUCAAUGGACGAAAGUCUGAAGAUGCGACGCCGCGUGGGGGAUGACGGUUUUCGGAUUGUAAACCCCUUUUAUAGUGGAGGAAGGCUCUGGAGCGAAUAGUGUCCAGAGAUUGACUGUACUCUAUGAAUAAGCCACGGCUAACUCCGUGCCAGCAGCCGCGGUAAUACGGAGGUGGCAAGCGUUACUCGGUUUGACUGGGUGUAAAGGGUCCGCAGGCGGCCCUGUAAGUGAAAGGUGAAAUCUUUCGGCUCAACCGGAAAACUGCCUUUCAAACUACAGGACUAGAGGAUGAGAGAGGAAAGCGGAACUGUCGGUGUAAAGGUGAAAUUUGUGGAUAUCGACAGGAACGUCGGUGGAGAAGUCGGCUUUCUGGCUCAUUCCUGACGCUCGGGGACGAAAGCUUGGGUAGCGAACAGGAUUAGAUACCCUGGUAGUCCAAGCUGUAAACGAUGAGCACUAGGUGUUCGUCCGUAAGGAUGGGUGCCGCAGCUAACGCAUUAAGUGCUCCACCUGGGGACUACGGCCGCAAGGCUAAAACUCAAAGGAAUUGACGGGGACCCGCACAAGCGGUGGAACACGUGGUUUAAUUCGAUGCUACGCGAGAAACCUUACCAGGAUUUGACAUGCUAGAGGUAGUAUCCCGAAAGGGAGUCCGACCGGUAACCAAUCCGGAACUAGUGCAGGUGCUGCAUGGCUGUCGUCAGCUCGUGCCGUGAGGUGUUCCCUUAAGUGGAGAACGAGCGCAACCCUCGCCUUUAGUUGCCACCCAUGAUCUUGUAUCAUGGCGCACUCUAGAGGGACUGCCCGCGUUAAGUGGGAGGAAGGUGGGGAUGACGUCAAGUCCGCAUGGCCCUUAUGUCCUGGGCGACACACGUGUUACAAUGGCUGGUACAAAGGGAAGCGAAGCCGCGAGGUGAAGCAUAUCCCAAAAAAACCAGUCUCAGUACGGAUUGUAGGCUGCAACUCGCCUACAUGAAGCUGGAAUCGCUAGUAAUGGCGCAUCAUCACGGCGCCGUGAAUACGUUCCCGGGUCUUGUACACACCGCCCGUCAAGCGCUGAAAAUGGGGGGCGCCCGAAGCCUCGAUUUAUCGAGUUCACGGUGAACUUCAUAAUUGGCGCUAAGUCGUAACAAGGUA
rnacentral:rRNA from 1 species